rnacentral:snoRNA from 19 species
GGCCCACAGUGAAGGGAUGAGACGAUGCCGGGCGGACAGGGCCCGGUCUCCGGACCGCUGGAGGGGGUCUCUGGCCGUCAAUGAGAGCGGGGGAUCAGCCGGGCCCACACCGAUUGGUUUCUGUUA